GACGAACGCUGGCGGCGCGCCUAACACAUGCAAGUCGAACGAGUGAGAGAGAGCUUGCUUUCUCGAUCGAGUGGCGAACGGGUGAGUAACGCGUGAGGAACCUGCCUCAAAGAGGGGGACAACAGUUGGAAACGACUGCUAAUACCGCAUAAGCCCACGGCUCGGCAUCGAGCAGGGGGAAAAGGAGCAAUCCGCUUUGAGAUGGCCUCGCGUCCGAUUAGCUAGUUGGUGGGGUAACGGCCCACCAAGGCGACGAUCGGUAGCCGGACUGAGAGGUUGAACGGCCACAUUGGGACUGAGACACGGCCCAGACUCCUACGGGAGGCAGCAGUGGGGAAUAUUGCACAAUGGGGGAAACCCUGAUGCAGCGACGCCGCGUGGAGGAAGAAGGUCUUCGGAUUGUAAACUCCUGUUGUUGGGGAAGAUAAUGACGGUACCCAACAAGGAAGUGACGGCUAACUACGUG
rnacentral:rRNA from 1 species